UACGAAGGGGGCUAGCGUUGCUCGGAAUUACUGGGCGUAAAGCGCACGUAGGCGGCUUUCUAAGUCGGGGUGAAAUCCUGGAGCUCAACUCCAGAACUGCCUUCGAUACUGGAGAGCUCGAGUCCGGGAGAGGUGAGUGGAACUGCGAGUGUAGAGGUGAAAUUCGUAGAUAUUCGCAAGAACACCAGUGGCGAAGGCGGCUCACUGGCCCGGUACUGACGCUGAGGCACGGAAAGCGUGGGGAGCCAAAC
rnacentral:rRNA from 1 species